rnacentral:rRNA from 1 species
GACGAACGCUGGCGGUGUGCUUAACACAUGCAAGUCGAACGGUGACGAGGAGCUUGCUCCUCCGAUCAGUGGCGAACGGGUGAGUAACACGUGAGUAACCUGCCCCAGACCCUGGGAUAACAGUUGGAAACAGCUGCUAAUACCGGAUACGAGACGGAGAGGCAUCUCUACCGUCUGGAAAGAUUUAUCGGUCUGGGAUGGACUCGCGGCCUAUCAGCUUGUUGGUGAGGUAAAGGCUCACCAAGGCGACGACGGGUAGCCGGCCUGAGAGGGCGACCGGCCACACUGGGACUGAGACACGGCCCAGACUCCUACGGGAGGCAGCAGUGGGGAAUAUUGCACAAUGGGCGAAAGCCUGAUGCAGCGACGCCGCGUGAGGGAUGACGGCCUCGGUUGUAACGUACUUUCUAGCAGGAAGAAGACGAAAGUAGACGGUACCUGCAGAAGAAG